GGGUCCCAUUGGGUCCCAUUGGGUGCCAUUGGGUCCCAUAGGGUCCAUAGGGUCCCAUAGGGUCCCAUUGGGUGCCAUUGGGUCCCAUUGGGUCCCAUUGGGUCCCAUAGGGUCCCAUUGGGUCCCAUUGGGUCCCAUUGGGGUCCAUUGGGUGCCAUUGGGUCCCACUGGGUGCCAUUGGGUCCCAUAGGGUCCUAUAGGGUCCCAUUGGGGUCCAUUGGGUCCCAUAGGGUCCAUAGGGUCCCAUUGGGUGCCAUUGGGGCCCUUCUUUUCCAGGCACUAAAUAAAGGCAAAACUGGGUUUUUUUAA